CCUACGGGAGGCAGCAGUGGGGAAUUUUGGACAAUGGGCGCAAGCCUGAUCCAGCCAUGCCGCGUGCGGGAAGAAGGCCUUCGGGUUGUAAACCGCUUUUGUCAGGGAAGAAAAGGUUCUGGCUAAUACCUGGGACUCAUGACGGUACCUGAAGAAUAAGCACCGGCUAACUACGUGCCAGCAGCCGCGGUAAUACGUAGGGUGCAAGCGUUAAUCGGAAUUACUGGGCGUAAAGCGUGCGCAGGCGGUUAUGCAAGACAGAGGUGAAAUCCCCGGGCUCAACCUGGGAACUGCCUUUGUGACUGCAUAGCUAGAGUACGGUAGAGGGGGAUGGAAUUCCGCGUGUAGCAGUGAAAUGCGUAGAUAUGCGGAGGAACACCGAUGGCGAAGGCAAUCCCCUGGACCUGUACUGACGCUCAUGCACGAAAGCGUGGGGAGCAAACAGGAUUAGAUACCCUGGUAGUCCACGCCCUAAACGAUGUCAACUGGUUGUUGGGAGGGUUUCUUCUCAGUAACGUAGCUAACGCGUGAAGUUGACCGCCUGGGGAGGACGGCGCGAGUAGUUAAGUUACGUAGAGUUAGUAGGCGNGNGAGNGCGACGGACGACGACGAGGAGGAGG
rnacentral:rRNA from 1 species